UACAGAGGCCUCGAGCGUUAGGCGGAAUCACUGGGCUUAAAGCGUGUGUAGGCGGACUUCUAAGUACCUUGUGAAAUCCCACGGCUCAACCGUGGAACUGCUCGGUAUACUGGUUGUCUUGAGCCAUCUAGGGGCGAGCGGAACAAGUGGUGGAGCGGUGAAAUGCGUAGAUAUCUGGAGGAAUACCGGUGGCGAAGGCGGCAUCCUGGACCAUAACUGACGCUGAGGCGCGAAAGCUAGGGGAGCAAACGGG
rnacentral:rRNA from 1 species